rnacentral:rRNA from 1 species
AUUGAACGCUGGCGGAAUGCUUUACACAUGCAAGUCGAACGGCAGCACGGGGCAACCUGGUGGCGAGUGGCGAACGGGUGAGUAAUAUAUCGGAACGUGCCCAAUCGUGGGGGAUAACGUAGCGAAAGUUACGCUAAUACCGCAUACGAUCUACGGAUGAAAGCGGGGGAUCGCAAGACCUCGCGCGAAUGGAGCGGCCGAUAUCAGAUUAGGUAGUUGGUGGGGUAAAGGCUCACCAAGCCAACGAUCUGUAGCUGGUCUGAGAGGACGACCAGCCACACUGGAACUGAGACACGGUCCAGACUCCUACGGGAGGCAGCAGUGGGGAAUCUUCCACAAUGGGCGAAAGCCUGACCCAGCGACGCCGCGUGGAGGAAGAAGUCCUUCGGGCGGUAAACUACCUGGACGUGGGGACGGAGGAAGGACGGUACCCGACGUAGAAAGGGACGGCGUAACUACGUGCCAGCAGCCGCGGUAAGGAGUAGUACA